rnacentral:rRNA from 1 species
GGCGGGGGAUAACCACUGGAAACGGUGGCUAAUACCGCAUAAUCUCUAAGGAGCAAAGUGGGGGACCGUUCAGGCCUCACACCUUCGGAUGAACCCAUAUGAGAUUAGCUAGUAGGUGGGGUAAUGGCUCACCUAGGCGACGAUCUCUAGCUGGUCUGAGAGGAUGAUCAGCCACACUGGGACUGAGACACGGCCCAGACUCCUACGGGAGGCAGCAGUGGGGAAUAUUGCACAAUGGGCGCAAGCCUGAUGCAGCCAUGCCGCGUGUAUGAAGAAGGCCUUCGGGUUGUAAAGUACUUUCAGUCGUGAGGAAGGUGUUAAGGUUAAUAACCUUAGCAAUUGACGUUAGCGACAGAAGAAGCACCGGCUAACUCCGUGCCAGCAGCCGCGGUAAUACGGAGGGUGCGAGCGUUAAUCGGAAUUACUGGGCGUAAAGGGCACGCAGGCGGUUAAUUAAGUUGGAUGUGAAAUCCCCGGGCUUAACCUGGGAAUGGCAUUCAAGACUGGUUAACUAGAGUCUUGUAGAGGGGGGUAGAAUUCCAUGUGUAGCGGUGAAAUGCGUAGAGAUGUGGAGGAAUACCGGUGGCGAAGGCGGCCCCCUGGACAAAGACUGACGCUCAUGUGCGAAAGCGUGGGGAGCAAACAGGAUUAGAUACCCUGGUAGUCCACGCUGUAAACGAUGUCGAUUUGGAGGUUGUGGUCAUGAACUGUGGCCUCCGGAGCUAACGCGUUAAAUCGACCGCCUGGGGAGUACGGCCGCAAGGUUAAAACUCAAAUGAAUUGACGGGGCCCGCA